rnacentral:misc_RNA from 1 species
AAGUCGUAACAAGGUAACCGUAGGUGAACCUGCGGUUGGAUCAUUAUUGAUACAACGGUCUUUGGAGUCCUCGCAAGAGUUGAUUCCAUUGGCCUUACCUACCCCAUGUGCACCGGAAUGUUUUUUGGGACCGGAUUUUUGUUAUUAGCUCUACUCGACUAGAACUAUGCAAGGUCCAGUCCCAGCAGUAUUAAACACUAUAUAAUUUGUCUGAAAUGAACCAAAGAAUCGUAACAACUUUUGACAACGGAUCUCUUGGCUCUC